GCAUAAUUGGUUUUAUAAUGAAUUUCACUAAGGUAUGCUUUAUUACUUUUUAGAACAUGUAAUUGCUGGACCCAGUCCUACAGAAUGCGUGUGCAGGAACAUCAGGCAUGGCCUUUUCUGUGAACUCCAAGCAACAAUUGAACUGGGAGACCACAAACGAUACAUCAACACUUUUAACAUGUGUAAAUCAAAGGAAAAACAACUCCUCAUUGGGGGAUAACUUUUUGUAAUUUCUAAAGGGGAGAUCUUGGCCAGUCCUUACUCAGUAAUGCAAAUUGGCUGCAAGACUUUGGAAACGAUGAAUCACAGUGUA
rnacentral:lncRNA from 1 species